UUAGGAGGAUAAUGACGGUAAUAUUGAUGAUUUUGCUGCUUUUAACACGACUGAUCCAGUAAUAAGUCAAAACACAUCUGACAACAGAAUGAAGUAAAAUGCUGUUAAUUAGUCCCAUUUUACAGAAGAAAUGAAAUGCUUGAAGUGUGCUUAUCCAAAGCCACAAAAGGUUUCUUGGUGCAGCUAAAAGCUAAAGACAACAAUGUAUUCAACAAGUCUUAAAAAAAGCUUCCUGGUGUCAGACUCUGGUGUGUGUCUGACUCUGUUCGCAGGGAGGGGCCACAAGACGGACCUGCACCCUGGCCCAUGCCCCCAGAGCUCCCGUGCUAGACACAGGAACCAAAGCAACCCCUCUACCCAGAGGCCUCUCGGAAGGGUGGGUAAACUCUCAUAGGGUGAAGGCAGAGCAAUGGAAAUAGCCAUCACGGUGGCCCACGAGGCCUUCAGCUUCCUAAGGACCCCCUCCUAGCUCAGGUGCAGGGGAUCUCACACCAUGGUCUCUCUGGAGGCACUGGCAAUGAGACAGAUAAGAGAGGCAAAGCUGUUCUGCUGCCCUUUUACUUUCCAGAUCAUCCAACACACCAGUUUCAAGCGGAAUAAAUAACAGCAUUUCUCUCUA